rnacentral:rRNA from 1 species
AGAGUUUGAUCCUGGCUCAGGACGAACGCUGGCGGUGUGCUUAACACAUGCAAGUGGUGUGACGAACCAGAGCUUGCUCUGGGGCCAAGCCGCGAACGGGUGAGUAACACGUGGGUAAUCUGCCCCGAUGACCGGGAUAACCCGAGGAAACUCGGGCUAAUACCGGAUGUGGCAUGUCGGCUCAAGCCGACCUGUCAAAGGUAGCUUCGGCUUCCGCAUCGGGAGGGGCCCGCGGCCCAUUAGCUUGUUGGUGGGGUCAAGGCCUACCAAGGCAACGAUGGGUAGCUGGUCUGAGAGGACGAUCAGCCACACUGGGACUGAGACACGGCCCAGACUCCUACGGGAGGCAGCAGUGGGGAAUCUUGCGCAAUGCGCGAAAGCGUGACGCAGCAACACCGCGUGAGGGAAGACGGCCUUAGGGUUGUAAACCUCUUUCAGUUGGGACGAAGGUUCGACGGUGAAUAGCCGAUCGGACUGACGGUACCUUCAGAAGAAGCUCCGGCUAACUACGUGCCAGCAGCCGCGGUAAUACGUAGGGGGCAAGCGUUGUCCGGAAUCAUUGGGCGUAAAGCGCAUGUAGGCGGCCAUGUGAGUCGGAUGUGAAAUCCCGGGGCUCAACUCCGGAACUGCAUCCGAUACUGCAUGGCUUGAGGAAGGUAGAGGAGAGUGGAAUUCCCGGUGUAGCGGUGGAAUGCGCAGAUAUCGGGAGGAACACCUAUGGCGAAGGCAGCUCUCUGGGCCUCUCCUGACGCUGAGAUGCGAAAGCGUGGGUAGCGAACAGGAUUAGAUACCCUGGUAGUCCACGCUGUAAACGAUGGGUGCUAGAUGUGGGGGUCUGUUCACGAUCUCCGUGUCGAAGCUAACGCGUUAAGCACCCCGCCUGGGGACUACGGCCGCAAGGCUAAAACUCAAAGGAAUUGACGG